GUGGCAUUUACUGCUACAUUACACAGGUGUUAUGUAGCAUCUGUGGCAGUUUCCACUCUUUGCUGUCUUUACUGUUCAGCCACUCAGCACUUACACAUGCAGGCGGCAUGUGAACAUCAGCUGAGCAGAACAUUAGUGACCCUGCUACGCUAAAAAUAUCUGCAUUGUGUUAAUGUUACCAUUAGAUUUGUCCUCAUUAUUUUCUCCAGAGAGAACAGGGGGGGAGGGGUGUCUUAACCUGGGCGGUGCUUCUUUCCUCAAGCUUCCCUGUGUGUUUUUCAGCUGUUUUGCAGAUGCAUGCAUACGAUUGGCUGAGAUUACAGAAAACUACAACGUGAAGAGUGAUGGAAAAGCUGCUAAUAAACCAACAAAGGAGGUUAACAGUAGAGGGUGAAAGGGAAAACGUCCUUCCAGUCUGUGUUGGUGAGGGUCCAUCGUCAACAGACUCACCCUUUUUCAGGUUUCGAGUGCAUGAAAGGCUCCAGGGAGCACAGCACACAGCGAGUGGAUGCGUUGGGCAACAAUAGGACUCAAAUAGUCCCCCAAAAGCAGAAGUGAGAGGCCAGCUGUGUCCGUGAGACAGGGUGGAGAACACCUGCACAGAAAGGACCGCAAUAUUUGCAUACAUGUAUGUAAUCAGUUAUGUAACAGUUGUUCUUUGUGGUCCGGCUUUGGUACAGUGACUUGUUUCUGACAUGGUUGGAUGACUUUCCCACAUUCUACUAAUAAAAGAAGACGUUUGAAA